rnacentral:pre_miRNA from 1 species
AUAAUACUCCCUUUGUUCGGAAAUACUUGUUGAAAUGAACAAAAACGGAUGUAUCUAGAACUAAAAUAUAGGUACAUUCAUUUCCCUGACUAGUAUUUUCGGACGGAGGGAGUAUGUC